GGUAGUUUAGUGGUUAAAACUCACACAUUUUAAAUGUGGAGAAAUGAGGUGUCCGGGGUUUGAACCCCGACCU
rnacentral:tRNA from 1 species